AGAGUUUGAUCAUGGCUCAGGAUGAACGCUAGCGGCAGGCUUAACACAUGCAAGUCGAGGGGUAUUGGGUGCUUGCACCCAAGAGACCGGCGCACGGGUGCGUAACGCGUAUGCAAUCUGCCUUUCACAGGGGGAUAGCCCGGAGAAAUCCGGAUUAAUACCCCAUGGUAUAUUGAUGUGGCAUCACAUUAUUAUUAAAGAUUUAUCGGUGAGAGAUGAGCAUGCGUCCCAUUAGCUAGUUGGUGUGGUAACGGCACACCAAGGCCACGAUGGGUAGGGGUCCUGAGAGGGAGAUCCCCCACACUGGUACUGAGACACGGACCAGACUCCUACGGGAGGCAGCAGUGAGGAAUAUUGGUCAAUGGGCGCAAGCCUGAACCAGCCAUGCCGCGUGCAGGAUGAAGGUCCUACGGAUUGUAAACUGCUUUUAUACGGGAAGAAACCCUGGAACGUGUUCCAGAUUGACGGUACCGUAAGAAUAAGGAUCGGCUAACUCCGUGCCAGCAGCCGCGGUAAUACGGAGGAUCCAAGCGUUAUCCGGAAUCAUUGGGUUUAAAGGGUCCGUAGGCGGCCUUAUAAGUCAGUGGUGAAAUCUCACGGCUCAACCGUGAAAUGGCCAUUGAUACUGUAGGGCUUGAAUUAUUGGGAAGUAACUAGAAUAUGUAGUGUAGCGGUGAAAUGCUUAGAUAUUACAUGGAAUACCGAUUGCGAAGGCAGGUUACUACCAAUGGAUUGACGCUGAUGGACGAAAGCGUGGGUAGCGAACAGGAUUAGAUACCCUAGUAGUCC
rnacentral:rRNA from 1 species